AGACAGGGGCGUAACUACCAUUAGGCAGGGGGAGGCAGUCGUCUGGGGGCCCCACUGCCUGGAGGGGCCCCCCCGAGACACCUCACAUGACUCCCCAUUGCCCCCUGCCCGGCCCCAAGACCCCUCAGCCACUUGCCCUGUUUGCCCUCCUCUCUCCUGCUGGUCCUCCUGGUCGGCAAUCCAAGCAGCAGGCCAGCUGCUUCUCUCCCGGGCGCCUCUCAGCUGACCGGCGGGUGGGCGAUGGGGCUUCCAGGGAGGCCUCCGUGUAGGCCUCCGUGAAGCCUGGAUUCGAGUAGGCUGGCAAGCCCCAGGAAGAAGGCUGGCAGUCAGAGCGGCCACGACAGCUCUCUGCAGCAGACCCUCUUCUGCCCAGGCCAGACAGCUCAGCCUUUGCCAGGCGUCCCAAGGGGUGGGGUGUGCAUGGAUUCAGCACUGCAACACCUUCAGGGGGAUGCACGCUCCAGGGAGAGAUGCACACCAACCACUCUGCCGAGAAAUGCUAAGGAAUCCUCCCCAUUGUCUCCUUCCUUGGGACCUUGAAACCAGGAGAGAAUUUCACGGAUCUCUCAGCAAAUCCACCGGUUAGGACACGUGAGAGCUGCAAGGAGAGGGAAGUCUCACAUCCUCAUUCUCCCUUCAGCACUGUGGAGAACAAGGAGAGAUGAACGGCUGACCGUGCAAGGUGCCAAUUAGCUCCGGAUAUCAGGGUUUUCAGUGUUCCCUAAGGAGGCAGUGGGGCAGGGAAUACCAGCCUUAAAGAUGUAAACCUGUGGCUUGAUAUAUUGUUCUAUAGCUAAGAUUUUUGUAAACCGCUUUGGGAGGUUCACCUGGAAG